rnacentral:rRNA from 1 species
AGAGUUUGAUCCUGGCUCAGGACGAACGCUGGCGGCGCGCUUAACACAUGCAAGUCGAGCGAGGAACCAGUCCUUCAGGGCUGGGGACAGCGGCGAACGGGUGAGUAACACGUGGGUAAUCUGCCCUCGGCACCGGAAUAGCCCGGGGAAACCCGGAUUAAUGCCGGAUGGCCUCUCUGCCCUACGGGGCGGCGAGAAAAGGUAGCUUUGGCCUCCGGCCGAGGAUGAGCCCGCGGCCGAUUAGCUUGUUGGUGAGGUAACGGCUCACCAAGGCGACGAUCGGUAGCUGGUCUGAGAGGACGAUCAGCCACACUGGGACUGAGACACGGCCCAGACUCCUACGGGAGGCAGCAGUGGGGAAUCUUGCGCAAUGGGCGAAAGCCUGACGCAGCGACGCCGCGUGCGGGAAGAAGGCCUUCGGGUUGUAAACCGCUUUCAGGAGGGACGAAGCCACUCAGGUUAAUAGCCGAGAGGGUGACGGUACCUCCAGAAGAAGCCCCGGCUAACUACGUGCCAGCAGCCGCGGUA